GCUGGAACUUCUGGAAUCCCGGGAAUUUCUUACUCUAUCUCUGCUCCCACUCCAGGGUUGUUAAAAAGCUUGGGAUUACACACGACUGAGUCAGCAGAGGAGAGAGACUGGGGCAAAAUGUGCGAAUUAAUCCUAGGCAUCUGGCUUAUGACAAGUCUUUCUACGCCAACAGAUCUUUGAAUGCAGUUUCUUCUGGAGCCUCGGCUAUGUGUGGCAUUCCCUGAUUCUCACAGAAGCAUGGUCACUUCCUCCUGCUGAGACACAAUGCCUGGCACCUACAGUUUAUGGGGGGAGAGGUUUACUGAUGCUCAGUUUCAGGGAUUCAUUCCAUAGGCA
rnacentral:lncRNA from 1 species